UUAAGUUUGAUGUUGAUAAACUUGGAGAGAAACUCAAGUAUUGCAAGAAGGAUGAUGUGACAUACAGCUACAAUAAAAUUCUGCCAUUUAUAGACCUUGAUGAAGCUAGAGAGUUGGUUUUAAAGUUGUGGCCAAACAGACCAGGUCGUCUGGAGGUGGAGCCUUCACUUCAGCUGAGUUACCCAGUUACACAAUUCAAACUAGUUCUCGCUGGGAGCAAUCGAGAAGAAACAAUGUCCACUGGAAAUGCUUUACUGGGGAGAGAAGAAUUCACUUAUCCAGGAAUACAAGUAGAGCUUGUAGAAGUGAACAACCUGGUGGUGAAAAUCAUCAAUACUCCACCCUUGUCAGGAUUAGAAGAUGCAGAUGGGAACAGGGAGACCGGAUAUCAGCGAAAGAUCAGACUCUCAGGCCCAGAACUUCCUGCCUUCCUCCUGGUCAUCAAGUUUCAGAACAUCAAUGCAGAACAAGUCAAGAGGGAUGUACAGGACUUUCAGAGAAAGUUCAAAAACAAGGCCUUAAGACGCACCAUGAUUGUUUUCACCCACCAGG